GAGGGGAAAAAGGGAAGGUGAGUCAUCGAAUCUUUGAACGCACAUUGCGCCCGCCAGUAUUCUGGCGGGCAUGCCUGUUCGAGCGUCAUUUCAACCCUCAAGCACAGCUUGGUGUUGGGACUCGCGUUAAUUCGCGUUCCUCAAAUUGAUUGGCGGUCACGUCGAGCUUCCAUAGCGUAGUAGUAAAACCCUCGUUACUGGUAAUCGUCGCGGCCACGCCGUUAAACCCCAACUUCUGAAUGUUGACCUCGGAUCAGGUAGGAAUACCCGCUGAACUUAAGCAUAUCAAUAAGCGGAGGA
rnacentral:misc_RNA from 1 species